rnacentral:rRNA from 1 species
ACGAACGCUGGCGGCGUGCUUAACACAUGCAAGUCGAACGGAAAGGCCCUGCUUUUGUGGGGUGCUCGAGUGGCGAACGGGUGAGUAACACGUGAGUAACCUGCCCUUGACUUUGGGAUAACUUCAGGAAACUGGGGCUAAUACCGGAUAGGAGCUCCUGCUGCAUGGUGGGGGUCGGAAAGUUUCGGCGGUUGGGGAUGGACUCGCGGCUUAUCAGCUUGUUGGUGGGGUAGUGGCUUACCAAGGCUUUGACGGGGAGCCGGCCUGAGAGGGUGACCGGCCACAUUGGGACUGAGAUACGGCCCAGACUCCUACGGGAGGCAGCAGUGGGGAAUAUUGCACAAUGGGCGGAAGCCUGAUGCAGCAACGCCGCGUGCGGGAUGACGGCCUUCGGGUUGUAAACCGCUUUCGCCUGUGACGAAGCGUGAGUGACGGUAAUGGGUAAAGAAGCACCGGCUAACUACGUG